rnacentral:rRNA from 1 species
GAUGAACGCUGGCGGCGUGCCUAAUACAUGCAAGUCGAGCGAAUGGAUUAAGAGCUUGCCCUUAUGAAGUUAGCGGCGGACGGGUGAGUAACACGUGGGUAACCUGCCCAUAAGACUGGGAUAACUCCGGGAAACCGGGGCUAAUACCGGAUAACAUUUUGAACCGCAUGGUUCGAAAUUGAAAGGCGGCUUCGGCUGUCACUUAUGGAUGGACCCGGGUCGCAUUAGCUAGUUGGUGAGGUAACGGCUCACCAAGGCAACGAUGCGUAGCCGACCUGAGAGGGUGAUCGGCCACACUGGGACUGAGACCCGGCCCAGACUCCUACGGGGGGCAGCAGUAGGGAAUCUUCCGCAAUGGACGAAAGUCUGACGGAGCAACGCCGCGUGAGUGAUGAAGGCUUUCGGGUCGUAAAACUCUGUUGUUAGGGAAGAACAAGUGCUAGUUGAAUAAGCUGGCACCUUGACGGUACCUAACCAGAAAGCCACGGCUAACUACGUGCCAGCCGCCGCAGUAA